AUUGAACGCUGGCGGCAGGCCUAACACAUGCAAGUCGAACGAGUGGCGGACGGGUGAGUAAUGUCUGGGACACUGCCUGAUGGAGGGGUAUAACUACUGGAAACGGUAGCUAAUACCGCAUACCCUCGGAUGUGCCCAGAUGGGAUUAGCUAGUAGGUGGGGUAAAGGCUCACCUAGGCGACGAUCCAUAGCUGGUCUGAGAGGAGGACCAGCCACACUGGAACUGAGACACGGCCCAGACUCCGACGUGAGGCAGCAGGGGGGAAUAUUGCACAAUGGGCGCAAGCCUGAUGCAGCCAUGCCGCGUGUAUGAAGAAGGCCUUCGGGUUGUAAAGUACUUUCAGCGGGGAGGCGUUACCCGCAGAAGAAGCACCGGCUAACUCCGUGCCAGCAGCCGCGGUAAUAC
rnacentral:rRNA from 1 species